AAGUCGUAACAAGGUUUCCGUAGGUGAACCUGCGGAAGGAUCAUUAGCACGUCUUGUGGCUAAGGAGGGAGUUGAGAGACGAGCUCCUUGGCCCGAUAAACACCUGUGAGCAUGAAAUUGAUUUGUGGAUGGAGGAGUGGAGGUGUGUUGUGGGCCUGCGGCUAAUGGCCUGCGGCCUGCGACCAUUGAAGCUUUUUCCUUUUUUACUUUUUUAAACCCCAACAACCAAUACAUAAAACUUCUUAAAGACUGAACUGUCUCUUGACUAACAACUCGAGACAACCUUGAUAUUCUAACCAAAGAAACAAUUCUUAGCAACGGAUAUCUUGGUUCCC
rnacentral:misc_RNA from 1 species